UCCCUCUCUCCCUGCAGGCUGCGUGGAUCACAUUCAACUCAGCCUAAAUGAUCACAAACGGUUAACGGAUGGAUUAUAAAAUGGAUGGAUAUUUGGACCAGCAAGUGCCUUACACUUUAGCAAAUAAGUCACAAGGAAAUGGACCCCUAAAUAGACUGUUGAUGGCAGCGAAAAGGAAAUACAUGGACACGGAAUUACCCCCUCAGGAAUCUGAAGACCUCUUUCAGGAUUUAAGCCAACUUCAGGAGACAUGGCUCACUGAAGGUAAUGUG